AGUGAACGCUGGCGGUAGGCCUAACACAUGCAAGUCGAACGGCAGCACAGUAAGAGCUUGCUCUUACGGGUGGCGAGUGGCGGACGGGUGAGGAAUACAUCGGAAUCUACUUUUUCGUGGGGGAUAACGUAGGGAAACUUACGCUAAUACCGCAUACGACCUACGGGUGAAAGCAGGGGAUCUUCGGACCUUGCGCGAUUGAAUGAGCCGAUGUCGGAUUAGCUAGUUGGCGGGGUAAAGGCCCACCAAGGCGACGAUCCGUAGCUGGUCUGAGGGGAUGGCAGCCCACACGGGAACGGGAACACGCCCCACCCCCCGCGGGGGGCAGCAGUAGGGAAAUUGUGGACAAGGGGGGAAGGCCGGACCCGCCCAUCCGGGGGGGGGAAGAAGGGCGUUGGGUUGGAAAAGCCUUUUUGUGGGGAAGAAAAGGGGGGAGUUUAAAACCCCGCUGUUGUGACGGUACCAAAAAAAAAAGCCCCGGCUAACUUCGUG
rnacentral:rRNA from 1 species